GACGAACGCUGGCGGCGUGCUUAACACAUGCAAGUCGAACGGUGAACGAGGGAGCUUGCUCCCUCCGGAUCAGUGGCGAACGGGUGAGUAACACGUGAGCAAUCUGCCCCGAACUCUGGGAUAAGCGUUGGGAACGACGUCUAAUACCGGAUACGACGCGGGAGGGCAUUCUCUCCGCGUGGAAAGAACUUCGGUUCGGGAUGAGCUCGCGGCCUAUCAGCUUGUUGGUGAGGUAACGGCUCACCAAGGCGACGACGGGUAGCCGGCCUGAGAGGGUGACCGGCCACCCUGGGACUGAGACACGGCCCAGAAUCCUACGGGAGGCAGCAGUGGGGAAUAUUGCACAAUGGGCGCAAGACUGAUGCAGCAACGCCGCGUGAGGGACGACGGCCUUCGGGUUGUAAACCUCUUUUAGCAGGGAAGAAGCGAAAGUGACGGUACCUGCAGAAAAAGCACCGGCUAACUACGUG
rnacentral:rRNA from 1 species